CACGGGAUGUUCUCCUCUUAGUCCGCUCCGGAAACGCGACCGCGGACGGAAAUAUCACGUGAUCUUAACGUCAACGCGCCCGCGCCGGCCGAACGGACGCCCUCGGUUUCCGCGGGCUGGCGUUUGUGCUUUAGGUACUUUUUUCCCCCCCCACGGUGUUGUGGCGUUUGCGGUCUUUUUCUCCAGACUGUCGGGGCCUGCUUUGGGAUUUCGCGAUGUACCACAACAGUAGCCAGAAGCGGCACUGGACUUUCGCCAGUGAGGAGCAGCUGGCACGACUGCGGGCCGACGCCAACCGCAAGUUCAAAUGCAAAGCGGUGGCCAACGGGAAGGUUCUUCCAAAUGAUCCAGUCUUUCUUGAGCCUCAUGAAGAAAUGAUGCUUUGCAAAUACUAUGAGAAGAGAUUAUUAGAAUUCUGUUCGGUGUUUAAGCCAGCAAUGCCAAGGUCUGUUGUGGGUACAGCUUGUAUGUAUUUCAAGCGUUUUUAUCUUAAUAACUCAGUAAUGGAAUAUCACCCCCGGAUAAUAAUGCUCACUUGCGCAUUUUUGGCCUGCAAAGUAGAUGAAUUCAAUGUAUCUAGUCCACAGUUCGUUGGAAAUCUGCGGGAGAGUCCUCUUGGACAAGAAAAGGCACUUGAACAGAUUUUGGAAUAUGAACUACUUCUUAUUCAGCAACUUAAUUUCCACCUUAUUGUCCACAAUCCUUAUAGACCGUUUGAGGGCUUUCUCAUUGAUUUAAAGACUCGCUAUCCCAUGAUGGAGAAUCCAGAGAUGUUGAGGAAAACAGCUGAUGACUUUCUUAAUAGAAUUGCAUUGACGGAUGCUUACCUUUUAUACACACCUUCCCAAAUUGCCCUGACUGCCAUUUUGUCGAGUGCAUCUCGAGCAGGAAUUACUAUGGAAAGUUAUUUGUCAGAAAGUCUGAUGCUGAAAGAGAACAGAACUUGCUUGUCACAGUUACUAGAUAUAAUGAAAAGUAUGAGAAACUUGGUAAAAAAAUAUGAGCCACCCAGAUCUGAAGAAGUUGCUAUUCUGAAACAGAAGUUGGAGAGAUGUCACUCUGCUGAGCUUGCUCUUAACGUAAUUACGAAGAAGAGGAAAGGCUAUGAAGAUGAUGAUUAUGUCUCAAAGAAACCCAAACAUGAAGAGGUAUGCUCUCCAAAGGAAGAAUGGACUGAUGAUGACCUGGUAGAUUCUCUCUAACCAUUUGAAAUUGACUUUCCAAUGCUAACUAACCAACAGAAGGAUGAAGCAGAAAACUGGGUUGCAGGAAUUCUGAGAAACUCUGUAGCCCUGUAAAUCUGAGUUUGAUGGAUACACAGCUGUUCUCAGUGUCAGUGCAUCCCAGGCUGC